UAAAUAAAAAUUUAUGUUUUAAAGAAUUUAAUUUAAAUUUAUUUUACAUAUAAUUUUUAGUAGUAAAAUUUUAAUUAUUUUAAUAAUAAUAUAAUUAAUUAAGUAGUAAUUAAUAUUAAAAAUUUAAGAAAUUAAGAUUUAGUAAUAUAAAAAUUAAUAACUAAUUUUGUGCCAGCAGUUGCGGUUAUACAAAAAUUAAAUUAAAUUAUUUCAGAUUUUAAAUAAUUAUUAAAUUUAAAAUAAAUUUUAAAUUAUUAAGUGAAAUUUUAAUUUAAUUAAAUUUUAUAUAAGAAUUAAUGAAUUAAUAAAUUUUAUUAUAAACUAGGAUUAGAUACCCUAUUAUUAAAAAAAUAAUUAAAAAUACUAAAAUAGUAAAUAAUUAUUUAUUGAAACUUAAAUAAUAUGGCGGUAUUUUAGUUCAUUUAGAGGAAUCUGUCUAAUAAUUGAUAAUCCACGAAUAAAUUUACUUAAUUUAAAAUUUUGUAUAUCAUUGUUAAAAAAAUAUUUUAAAAUAAUAAUAAUAUUUUAAUUUUUUAAUUAGAAUUUAAUUCAGAUCAAGAUGCAGAGUAUAGUUAAGAAUAUGAUGGAUUACAAUAAAUAUAUUUAUAAUGAAUAGUAAUAUUGUAAAAUAAAUUUGAAGGUGGAUUUAAAUGUAAUUUUAAUUAAUUUAUUAAAAUGAUUUAAAAUUAAAAUAUGUACAUAUUGCCCGUCACUUUCAUUUAAAAAUUGAAAUAAGUCGUAACAAAGUAGAGGUACUGGAAAGUGUUUCUAGAAAGAUU
rnacentral:ncRNA from 1 species